UACGUAGGGACCGAGCGUUGUCCGGAUUCAUUGGGCGUAAAGAGCUCGUAGGCGGCUGCUCAAGUCGAAUGUGAAAACUCGAGGCUCAACCUCGAGCCUGCAUUCGAUACUGGGCGGCUAGAGUCUGGUAGGGGGAUCUGGAAUUCCAGGUGUAGCGGUGAAAUGCGUAGAUAUCUGGAGGAACACCGGUGGCGAAGGCGGCAUCCUGGACCAACACUGACACUGAUGAGCGAAAGCCAGGGGAGCAAACGGG
rnacentral:rRNA from 1 species